CCAGACUCCUACGGGAGGCAGCAGUGGGGAAUAUUGCACAAUGGGGGAAACCCUGAUGCAGCAACGCCGCGUGAAGGAAGACGGUUUUCGGAUUGUAAACUUCUAUCAAUAGGGAAGAAAGAAAUGACGGUACCUAAAUAAGAAGCCCCGGCUAACUACGUGCCAGCAGCCGCGGUAAUACGUAGGGGGCAAGCGUUAUCCGGAUUUAUUGGGUUUAAAGGGUGCGCAGGCGGAGGUGCAAGUCAGCGGUCAAAUUGCGGGGCUCAACCCCGUACUGCCGUUGAAACUGCAUCCCUUGAGUGCGCGAGAAGUAUGCGGAAUGCGUGGUGUAGCGGUGAAAUGCAUAGAUAUCACGCAGAACUCCGAUUGCGAAGGCAGCAUACCGGCGCGCAACUGACGCUCAUGCACGAAAGCGUGGGUAUCGAACAGGAUUAGAUACCCGUGUA
rnacentral:rRNA from 1 species